AUACUUAUCUGGCAAGAGAGAUACCAUGAUCACGAACGUGGUUUUCACAGGGUGAGGCUUAUCCAUUGCACUCUGGAUGUGCUGACCCCUGCUGUUUCCCCAAAGGUGGGAAACUUGACUGCAUAAUUGGUGGUAGUGGGGGGACUGAAAAAAAAUAUUAGCUGGGCAUAGUGGCUCAUGCCUGAA
rnacentral:snRNA from 1 species